UUAAGCGACUAAGCGUACACGGUGGAUGCCCUGGCAGUCAGAGGCGAUGAAGGACGUGCUAAUCUGCGAUAAGCGUCGGUAAGGUGAUAUGAACCGUUAUAACCGGCGAUUUCCGAAUGGGGAAACCCAGUGUGAUUCGUCACACUAUCAUUAACUGAAUCCAUAGGUUAAUGAGGCGAACCGGGGGAACAGAAACAUCUAAGUACCCCGAGGAAAAGAAAUCAACCGAGAUUCCCCCAGUAGCGGCGAGCGAACGGGGAGCAGCCCAGAGCCUGAAUCAGUGUGUGUGUUAGUGGAAGCGUCUGGAAAGGCGUGCGAUACAGGGUGACAGCCCCGUACACAAAAAUGCACAUACUGUGAGCUCGAUGAGUAGGGCGGGACACGUGGUAUCCUGUCUGAAUAUGGGGGGACCAUCCUCCAAGGCUAAAUACUCCUGACUGACCGAUAGUGAACCAGUACCGUGAGGGAAAGGCGAAAAGAACCCCGGCGAGGGGAGUGAAAAAGAACCUGAAACCGUGUACGUACAAGCAGUGGGAGCACGCUUAGGCGUGUGACUGCGUACCUUUUGUAUAAUGGGUCAGCGACUUAUAUUCUGUAGCAAGGUUAACCGAAUAGGGGAGCCGAAGGGAAACCGAGUCUUAACUGGGCGUUAAGUUGCAGGGUAUAGACCCGAAACCCGGUGAUCUAGCCAUGGGCAGGUUGAAGGUUGGGUAACACUAACUGGAGGACCGAACCGACUAAUGUUGAAAAAUUAGCGGAUGACUUGUGGCUGGGGGUGAAAGGCCAAUCAAACCGGGAGAUAGCUGGUUCUCCCCGAAAGCUAUUUAGGUAGCGCCUCGUGAAUUCAUCUCCGGGGGUAGAGCACUGUUUCGGCAAGGGGGUCAUCCCGACUUACCAACCCGAUGCAAACUGCGAAUACCGGAGAAUGUUAUCACGGGAGACACACGGCGGGUGCUAACGUCCGUCGUGAAGAGGGAAACAACCCAGACCGCCAGCUAAGGUCCCAAAGUCAUGGUUAAGUGGGAAACGAUGUGGGAAGGCCCAGACAGCCAGGAUGUUGGCUUAGAAGCAGCCAUCAUUUAAAGAAAGCGUAAUAGCUCACUGGUCGAGUCGGCCUGCGCGGAAGAUGUAACGGGGCUAAACCAUGCACCGAAGCUGCGGCAGCGACGCUUAUGCGUUGUUGGGUAGGGGAGCGUUCUGUAAGCCUGUGAAGGUGUGCUGUGAGGUAUGCUGGAGGUAUCAGAAGUGCGAAUGCUGACAUAAGUAACGAUAAAGCGGGUGAAAAGCCCGCUCGCCGGAAGACCAAGGGUUCCUGUCCAACGUUAAUCGGGGCAGGGUGAGUCGACCCCUAAGGCGAGGCCGAAAGGCGUAGUCGAUGGGAAACAGGUUAAUAUUCCUGUACUUGGUGUUACUGCGAAGGGGGGACGGAGAAGGCUAUGUUGGCCGGGCGACGGUUGUCCCGGUUUAAGCGUGUAGGCUGGUUUUCCAGGCAAAUCCGGAAAAUCAAGGCCGAGGCGUGAUGACGAGGCACUACGGUGCUGAAGCAACAAAUGCCCUGCUUCCAGGAAAAGCCUCUAAGCAUCAGGUAACAUCAAAUCGUACCCCAAACCGACACAGGUGGUCAGGUAGAGAAUACCAAGGCGCUUGAGAGAACUCGGGUGAAGGAACUAGGCAAAAUGGUGCCGUAACUUCGGGAGAAGGCACGCUGAUACGUAGGUGAAGCGACUUGCUCGUGGAGCUGAAAUCAGUCGAAGAUACCAGCUGGCUGCAACUGUUUAUUAAAAACACAGCACUGUGCAAACACGAAAGUGGACGUAUACGGUGUGACGCCUGCCCGGUGCCGGAAGGUUAAUUGAUGGGGUUAGCGCAAGCGAAGCUCUUGAUCGAAGCCCCGGUAAACGGCGGCCGUAACUAUAACGGUCCUAAGGUAGCGAAAUUCCUUGUCGGGUAAGUUCCGACCUGCACGAAUGGCGUAAUGAUGGCCAGGCUGUCUCCACCCGAGACUCAGUGAAAUUGAACUCGCUGUGAAGAUGCAGUGUACCCGCGGCAAGACGGAAAGACCCCGUGAACCUUUACUAUAGCUUGACACUGAACAUUGAGCCUUGAUGUGUAGGAUAGGUGGGAGGCUUUGAAGUGUGGACGCCAGUCUGCAUGGAGCCGACCUUGAAAUACCACCCUUUAAUGUUUGAUGUUCUAACGUGGACCCGUGAUCCGGGUUGCGGACAGUGUCUGGUGGGUAGUUUGACUGGGGCGGUCUCCUCCUAAAGAGUAACGGAGGAGCACGAAGGUUGGCUAAUCCUGGUCGGACAUCAGGAGGUUAGUGCAAUGGCAUAAGCCAGCUUGACUGCGAGCGUGACGGCGCGAGCAGGUGCGAAAGCAGGUCAUAGUGAUCCGGUGGUUCUGAAUGGAAGGGCCAUCGCUCAACGGAUAAAAGGUACUCCGGGGAUAACAGGCUGAUACCGCCCAAGAGUUCAUAUCGACGGCGGUGUUUGGCACCUCGAUGUCGGCUCAUCACAUCCUGGGGCUGAAGUAGGUCCCAAGGGUAUGGCUGUUCGCCAUUUAAAGUGGUACGCGAGCUGGGUUUAGAACGUCGUGAGACAGUUCGGUCCCUAUCUGCCGUGGGCGCUGGAGAACUGAGGGGGGCUGCUCCUAGUACGAGAGGACCGGAGUGGACGCAUCACUGGUGUUCGGGUUGUCAUGCCAAUGGCACUGCCCGGUAGCUAAAUGCGGAAGAGAUAAGUGCUGAAAGCAUCUAAGCACGAAACUUGCCCCGAGAUGAGUUCUCCCUGACCCUUUAAGGGUCCUGAAGGAACGUUGAAGACGACGACGUUGAUAGGCCGGGUGUGUAAGCGCAGCGAUGCGUUGAGCUAACCGGUACUAAUGAACCGUGAGGCUUAACCUU
rnacentral:rRNA from 1 species